GCCUGGUUGGCUCAGUCGGUUAAGCAUCCAACUUUGGCUCCGGUCAUGAUCUCAGGGUUCGUGGGUUUGAGCCCCGCAUCGGGCU
rnacentral:tRNA from 1 species